AUCAGGUUUAAACACUCGUUCUUGUGUUCUCGUACGAUUACCGAAGUUAAGCAACAUCAAGCCUGAUUAGUACCUAUAUGAGUGACCGCUUGGGAAUACCGGGAGCUGUAAG